UGAGGAAUAUUGGGCAAUGCCCGCAAGGGUGACCCAGCAACGCCGCGUGGAGGAUGAAUGUCGUAAGAUUGUAAACUCCUGUUAGAGGGGGAGAAUAGUACCGGUUGGACCGGUAUAUGACUGUACCCUCAGAGAAAGCCCCGGCUAACUACGUGCCAGCAGCCGCGGUAACACGUAGGAGGCGAGCGUUAUCCGGAUUCACUGGGCGUAAAGCGCGUGCAGGCGGUUCGGUAAGUUGGGCGUGAAAUCUCCCGGCUCAACUGGGAGAGGUCGUUCAAUACUACCGAACUUGAGAGCGAUAGAGGAAAAUGGAAUUCCCGGUGUAGUGGUGAAAUGCGUAGAUAUCGGGAGGAACACCAGUGGCGAAAGCGAUUUUCUGGAUCGUUUCUGACGCUCAGACGCGAAAGCUAGGGUAGCAAACG
rnacentral:rRNA from 1 species